rnacentral:rRNA from 1 species
AGCGAACGCUGGCUGCAGGCCUAACACAUGCAAGUCGAACGAACCUUUCGGGGUUAGUGGCGGACGGGUGAGUAACACGUGGGAACGUGCCUUUAGGUUCGGAAUAACUCAGGGAAACUUGUGCUAAUACCGAAUGUGCCCUUCGGGGGAAAGAUUAAUCGCCUUUAGAGCGGCCCGCGUCUGAUUAGCUAGUUGGUUGAGGUAAUGGCUCACCAAGGCGACGAUCAGUAGCUGGUCUGAGAGGAUGAUCAGCCACAUUGGGACUGAGACACGGCCCAAACUCCUACGGGAGGCAGCAGUGGGGAAUCUUGCGCAAUGGGCGAAAGCCUGACGCAGCCAUGCCGCGUGAAUGAUGAAGGUCUUAGGAUUGUAAAAUUCUUUCACCGGGGACGAUAAUGACGGUACCCGGAGAAGAAGCCCCGGCUAACUUCGUG